AGAGACCGGCGCACGGGUGCGUAACGCGUAUGCAAUCUACCUUUCACAGAGGGAUAGCCCAGAGAAAUUUGGAUUAAUACCUCAUAGUAUAUCGAGUUGGCAUCAACAUGAUAUUAAAGUCACAACGGUGAAAGAUGAGCAUGCGUCCCAUUAGCUAGUUGGUAAGGUAACGGCUUACCAAGGCAACGAUGGGUAGGGGUCCUGAGAGGGAGAUCCCCCACACUGGUACUGAGACACGGACCAGACUCCUACGGGAGGCAGCAGUGAGGAAUAUUGGUCAAUGGGCGCAAGCCUGAACCAGCCAUGCCGCGUGCAGGAUGACGGUCCUAUGGAUUGUAAACUGCUUUUAUACGGGAAGAAACCCCGCCUCGUGAGGCGGAUUGACGGUACCGUAGGAAUAAGGAUCGGCUAACUCCGUGCCAGCAGCCGCGGUAAUACGGAGGAUCCAAGCGUUAUCCGGAAUCAUUGGGUUUAAAGGGUCCGUAGGCGGCCUUAUAAGUCAGUGGUGAAAUCUCCCGGCUCAACCGGGAA
rnacentral:rRNA from 1 species